GACUCGCAGCCUCGUAGGUAUCGAACAAGAACAACAACGCCUCCACCCUCACCCUCUUCCCUCCGGCUGUCCUCCUCCCUCCAGCGACCACCUCACCGUCCUCCCUGCAACGGAAGGAACCAAGCAGAAGGUUUGUAAUAUUUAGCGAAACUGCAAUGGAAGGAACCAAAUAGAAGGUUGUGUUAUCGAUUCCGGUGGCGAAAAGCUGAGGAAUUUGGGGUAAAUCAGGGAAAAUUGGAAAGGGUCAGAUGGCUAAACCUAGGGUUCUUGCAAUCACCAUUCGGGUCUUGUGAUGUGCUUAAUUGAUUUGGAUGCUUGUGAUGUGCUGAAUUGAUGUGGCUGCUUGUGAUGUGCUUUAUGGAACCCGAGUUUGAUUUAUUGAUUUGGCUGCUUUGUUAGAGAAAUUUAUUGUUUUCGUUUGGAUCACACUUUUGAUCUUUAACUCUCUUAAGAAAGAAGACCUAUGGCUUGCUAGUCCAAAUAACUGUAUCAUUCAUGUAGAGUGCCAAUGAAUGCCCGUUCAAUUCAAUUCUAUUAUCAUCUAGUCCAUAUAAAUUUAUUUGCCUGCAUAAAACAAGUCAAACAUGUGAAAAUAUUAUCAAUGAAGCGAGAAGAACUGAACAUGGUUUGUUGAACACAUUACUUCCUGAACCGCCGACAUUUUGUGACACUAGUGUGAAUAAGAACGCAAACUA
rnacentral:lncRNA from 1 species